rnacentral:rRNA from 1 species
ACAUGCAAGUCGAACGGUAGCACAGAGGAGCUUGCUCCUUGGGUGACGAGUGGCGGACGGGUGAGUAAUGUCUGGGAAACUGCCCGAUGGAGGGGGAUAACUACUGGAAACGGUAGCUAAUACCGCAUAACGUCGCAAGACCAAAGAGGGGGACCUUCGGGCCUCUUGCCAUCGGAUGUGCCCAGAUGGGAUUAGCUAGUAGGUGGGGUAACGGCUCACCUAGGCGACGAUCCCUAGCUGGUCUGAGAGGAUGACCAGCCACACUGGAACUGAGACACGGUCCAGACUCCUACGGGAGGCAGCAGUGGGGAAUAUUGCACAAUGGGCGCAAGCCUGAUGCAGCCAUGCCGCGUGUAUGAAGAAGGCCUUCGGGUUGUAAAGUACUUUCAGCGAGGAGGAAGGCGUUGUGGUUAAUAACCGCAACGAUUGACGUUACUCGCAGAAGAAGCACCUGCUAACUCCGUGCCAGCCGCCGCGGUAAAAGGG